rnacentral:rRNA from 1 species
GAUGAACGCUGGCGGCGUGCCUAAUACAUGCAAGUCGAGCGAACAGACGAGGAGCUUGCUCCUCUGACGUUAGCGGCGGACGGGUGAGUAACACGUGGAUAACCUACCUAUAAGACUGGGAUAACUUCGGGAAACCGGAGCUAAUACCGGAUAAUAUAUUGAACCGCAUGGUUCAAUAGUGAAAGACGGUUUUGCUGUCACUUAUAGAUGGAUCCGCGCCGCAUUAGCUAGUUGGUAAGGUAACGGCUUACCAAGGCAGCGAUGCGUAGCCGACCUGAGAGGGUGAUCGGCCACACUGGAACUGAGACGCGGUCCAGACUCCUACGGGAGGCAGCAGUAGGGAAUCUUACGCAAUGGGCGAAAGCCUGACGGAGCAACGCCGCGUGAGUGAUGAAGGUCUUCGGAUCGUAAAACUCUGUUAUUAGGGAAGAACAAAUGUGUAAGUAACUAUGCACGUCUUGACGGUACCUAAUCAGAAAGCCACGGCUAACUACGUG